UGUUGCAGUUAAAAAGCUCAUAGUUGAACCUUGGGAUGGGUCGCCCGGUCCGCCUUCGGUGAGCACUGGUCGGCUUGUCUCUUCUGUCGGCGAUACGCUCCUGGCCUUAACUGGCCGGGUCGUGCCUCCGGCGCAGCUACUUUGAAGAAAUUAGAGUGCUCAAAGCAAGCCUACGCUCUGUAUACAUUAGCAUGGCAUAACAUCAUAGGAUUUCGAUCCUAUUGUGUUGGCCUUCGGGAUCGAAGUAAUGAUUAACAGGGACAGUCGGUGUGAUAACCCGCCCUUUGGGAUAAAAUGGCCGAGAGAGCAAAAGUCAGAAUCCAGAGCCGAGCUUUUG
rnacentral:ncRNA from 1 species